rnacentral:rRNA from 1 species
AACGAACGCUGGCGGCGUGCCUAACACAUGCAAGUCGAGCGCGAAAGUUCCUUCGGGAGCGAGUAGAGCGGCGGACGGGUGAGUAAUACAUAGGUAAUCUACCUUCGAGCUUGGGAUAACCCCGCGAAAUUGGGGCUAAUACCGGAUAAGACCACGUAAUUAUUUUACGGGGUAAAAGGUGGCUUAUUUUUUAAAUGAGCUAUCACCUGAGGAUGAGCCUGUGGCCUAUCAGCUAGUUGGCGGGGUAAGAGCCCACCAAGGCUAUGACGGGUAGCUGGUCUGAGAGGACGACCAGCCACACUGGGACUGAGACACGGCCCAGACUCCUACGGGAGGCAGCAGUGGGGAAUAUUGGGCAAUGGGCGAAAGCCUGACCCAGCGACGCCGCGUGGGCGAUGAAGGCCUUCGGGUUGUAAAGCCCUGUCAUGCGGAAAGAACGACCCUGAGACGCAUACUCUCAGGGAGUGACGGUACCGCAGGAGGAAGCACCGGCUAACUCCGUGCCAGCCGCCGCAGUAA